UUACAUAUAUGAAUGUUACUUCCUAUUAAGUUUACAAAAAUGUCGCGCUUACAAAAUACUAAAACAAUAUAACCACUCUCUGUGAAAGAUGGGCGACAGAUUCCAGAGGGACAGUCAAACUUAUAGAUCGAAAAUAAACUGACAAGGCUAUGGCUAAAAAAGAAAAGACAAACAUUCAAAUAAUAGAACCCAAUACACAACACAGAAAGGUAAAAACUGAGCAACACGAACCCCAACGAAAACUGUGGAUGAUAUCAGGUGCUCCGGAAGGGUAUGCUGAUCCUGAUCCACAUGUGGCCCC
rnacentral:lncRNA from 1 species